UACGUAGGUGGCAAGCGUUGUCCGGAUUUACUGGGCGUAAAGGGCGUGCAGGCGGUCUGUUAAGUUCAGGGUGAAAGCUCCCGGCUCAACUGGGAGAGGUCCUUGGAUACUGGCAGACUCGAGGGAGGUAGAGGAGAGUGGAAUUCCCGGUGUAGUGGUGAAAUGCGUAGAUAUCUGGAGGAACACCGGUGGCGAAGGCGGCAUCCUGGACCGGUAUUGACGCUGAGGAGCGAAAGCCAGGGGAGCAAACGGG
rnacentral:rRNA from 1 species